rnacentral:rRNA from 1 species
CCUACUGGAGGCAUCAUUGAGGCAUCUUGGUCAAUGGCCGGAAGGCUGAACCAGCCAAGUCGCGUGAGGGCCUACUUCCCUAUGUGUUGUCCCCCUCUUUUCUCCUUUCCUCCUCAAUGCUACGUGUAGCAUGAUGCCUGUACCUUAUGAAUAAGCAUCGGCUAACUCCGUGCCAGCAGCCGCGGUAAUACGGAGGAUGCGAGCGUUAUCCGGAUUUAUUGGGUUUAAAGGGUGCGUAGGCGGUUUUUUAAGUUAGUGGUUAAACGUCGGGGCUUCACCUUGAUUUGCCAUUAAUACUGUAAGACUCGAGUUCAGACGAGGUAGGCGGAAUAAGUUAAGUAGCGGUGAAAUGCUUAGAUAUAACUUAGAACUCCGAUAGCGAAGGCAGCUUACCAGACUGCGACUGACGCUGAAGCACGAGAGCGUGGGUAGCGAACAGGAUUAGAUACCCGUGUAGUC